UUAGGAAUCUUGCGCAAUGGGCGAAAGCCUGACGCAGCAACGCCGCGUGGGGGAAGAAGGCCCUCGGGUUGUAAACCCCUUUCAGUGGGGACGAAAAUGACGGUACCCACAGAAGAAGCCCCGGCCAACUACGUGCCAGCAGCCGCGGUGACACGUAGGGGGCAAGCGUUGUCCGGAUUUAUUGGGCGUAAAGGGCUCGUAGGCGGUUCGGCAAGUCGGGUGUGAAACCUCCAGGCUCAACCUGGAGCCGCCAUCCGAAACUGCUGUGACUUGAGUCCGGUAGGGGAGCAUGGAAUUCCUGGUGUAGCGGUGGAAUGCGCAGAUAUCAGGAGGAACACCAGUGGCGAAGGCGAUGCUCUGGGCCGGUACUGACGCUGAGGAGCGAAAGCAUGGGGAGCGAACAGG
rnacentral:rRNA from 1 species